AUGGCGCCCCUAGCUUCACGUCUCUUCCUAGUGGUGCUGGCGCUUGUUCGGGCCUUCUCCGCUACCGCGAAGCCGCACUACACCGGCGUUUUAAGCUUCGGCGACUCGCUUGCCGACACCGGGAACGAGCUCGCGCGCACCGGCGGCGGGCUUGCCAGCGUGCCGCCGUACGGCGAGACCUUCUUCGGCCACCCCACCGGCCGUGCGUCCGACGGCCGGGUCGUCCUCGACUUCAUAGUUGAGGCGCUGGGGAUGCCAUCGCCGAAGCCGUAUUUCGCCGGCAAGACCGCGGCGGACUUCCGGCGGGGCGUCAACUUCGCGUACGGUGGGUCGACGGCGCUUGGCCCGGAGUUCUUCCUGAGCAGAGGGCUUAGGUCGUUCGUGCCCGUCUCGCUCGCAAACCAGACCGCCUGGUUCAAGAAUGUUGUACAGCUAGCCGGCUCAGAACAAGAGCAGAGGAAGCUGACGGCGACGAUGCUGGUCAUGAUGGGAGAAAUGGGAAUCAACGACUACCUCGUCGCCAUCACCGGAAAGCUCAGCGACGGUGAGAUCCGGACCUUCGUGCCGCACAUCGUCCGCGCCAUCCGUGAUGUCGUGACCGAUGUGAUCGGUGCGGGAGCAAAAACGGUGGUGGUCCGGGGGAUGAUACCGCUGGGUUGCCAACCGCAGAUGCUAGCCCUCUUCGAGGGCACCGGCGCCGCCUACAGCCGUGCGACCGGCUGCCUGACGCGGCUCAACGACCUCGCCAGGCUGCACAACCGCGCGCUGAUGCGCAUGGUCCUUGACCUCCGGCGUGCCCACCGCGGCACGGCCAUCCUCUACGCGGACCAGUACGACCCCGUCGCCGCCAUCGUCCUCUCGCCCCGCAAGUACGGGUUCGGGGACAGGCCGCUGGCGGCGUGCUGCGGGAGGAGCGGCACCUACAACUUCGACUCCAACUACGCCACCUUCUGCGGCGUGGCCGGGGCGACGACGUGCACCAACCCCUCCAAAUACGUCUCGUGGGACGGGAUACACAUGACCGACGCCGCUAACUGGCAUGUCGCCGGCGCCGUGCUCAGGUCCACCAUGUUGCGCCAAACGCCACCUACGGCAGACCUCGCCUCCAGCUAG
rnacentral:rRNA from 1 species